rnacentral:rRNA from 1 species
UACGAAGGGGGCUAGCGUUGUCCGGAUUCAUUGGGCGUAAAGCGCGCGUAGGCGGCCGCUUAAGUCGGAUGUGAAAGCCCCUGGCUCAACUGGGGAAGUGCACCCGAAACUGAGUGGCUUGAGUACCAAAGAGGGUCGCGGAAUUCCCGGUGUAGAGGUGAAAUUCGUAGAUAUCGGGAGGAACACCGGUGGCGGAGGCGGCGACCUGGGUGGAUACUGACGCUGAGGCGCGAAAGCGUGGGGAGCAAACAGG